rnacentral:rRNA from 1 species
CCCGACUGCUAUCGGGGUGAGGCUAAGCCAUGGGAGUCGCGCGCCCCGCCGCCGCGGGGCGCGGCGCACGGCUGAGUAACACGUGCCUAACCUACCCUCGGGAGGGGGACAACCCCGGGAAACUGGGGCCAAUCCCCCAUAGGAGAAGGGUGCUGGAAAGCCCCUUCUCCGAAAGGGACUGCGGCCGAUCCGCCGCAGUCCGCCCGAGGAUGGGGGCACGGCCCAUCAUGGUAGUUGGCGGGGUAAUGGCCCGCCAAGCCGAAGACGGGUGGGGGCCGUGAGAGCGGGAGCCCCGAGAUGGGCACUGAGACAAGGGCCCAGGCCCUACGGGGUGCAGCAGGCGCGAAAACUCCGCAAUGCGGGAAACCGUGACGGGGCCACCCCGAGUGCCGCCCGAAGAGGGCGGCUUUUGCCCGGUGCAAAAAGCCGGGCGAAUAAGCGGGGGGCAAGUCUGGUGUCAGCCGCCGCGGUAAUACCAGCUCCGCGAGUGGUCGGGGUGCUUACUGGGCCUAAAGCGCCCGUAGCCGGCCCGGUAAGUCGUCCCUGAAAUCCACGGGCUCAACCCGUGGGCUGGGGACGAUACUGCCGGGCUUGGGGGCGGGAGAGGCCGAGGGUACUCCCGGGGUAGGGGCGAAAUCCGAUAAUCCUGGGAGGACCACCAGUGGCGAAGGCGCUCGGCUGGAACGCGCCCGACGGUGAGGGGCGAAAGCUGGGGGGAGCAAAGGGGAUUAGAUACCCCUGUAGUCCCAGCUGUAAACGAUGCGGGCUAGCUGUUGGGCGGGCUUAAAGCCCGCCCAGUGGCGGAGGGAAGCCGUUAAGCCCGCCGCCGGGGGAGUACGGCCGCAAGGCUGAAACUUAAAGGAAUUGGCGGGGGGGCACCACAAGGGGUGAAGCUUGCGGCUUAAUUGGAGUCAACGCCGGAAACCUUACCCGGGGCGACAGCAGGAUGAUGGCCAGGCUAACGACCUUGCCGGACGAGCUGAGAGGAGGUGCAUGGCCGUCGUCAGCUCGUGCCGCGAGGUGUCCGGUUAAGUCCGGCAACGAGCGAGACCCCCACCCCUAGUUGCUACCCGAUCCUUCGGGAUCGGGGGCACACUAGGGGG